rnacentral:rRNA from 1 species
GGGUCAGUAGGUUGGUCGUGCCACCGGUACGUACUGGUCUCACUGAUUCCUCCUUCCUGAAGAGCCGUAAUGCCAUUAAUUUGGUGUUGCGGGGAAACAGGACUGUUACUUUGAAAAAAUUAGAGUGUUUAAAGCAAGCUAACGCUUGAAUACAUUAGCAUGGAAUGAUGAAAUAGGACGAUCGAUCCUAUUUUGUUGGUUUCUAGGAUUGACGUA